UGCUCCCUGGCAAUGGGCAAAGAGACACUGUGUUGGUGGUGGUGUUUUUAUAUCAGUCAGGGGCAGAGCAGAUGGCGGACCUUUGUUCAUCCUAGCUUGAUGUCUGGCUUGGUGGCCAAAGCUGCUUUAUGCCUAGGACACAUAA